GCAGAGGACAUCCAAGUCAUGCCAGGAACCUGGAUGGGGAGGUGUACUAUUCUAAGGAGAAAGUCCAUGGCUUUCAUCGGAUCCCAAAGCAUUCUCUCAACCCAAAGAAACUAAAGAAAUGGAUCCAGUCCACACUCACCUUUCUCAGUUGAGGAAACUGACACUAGAAGAAACAUGGCUUCAAGCCCAAGGUCCCAGAGAUAGUUACGGAAUACCUGAAUUCCAGCCAGAAGCAUCUCCUUAAGGUUGCAGAGACCAGAAACCAGAUGACACACUCCUCACCCUUUGGGUGAUUCCGACACAUUGGUCCACGGAUACUGCUCAUCUUUCCACAGCAUAUCAAAAAAAGAAAACUAGUGUGUUCACUUUAUUAUUUUCACUUAUUUAGCACUUCUCUCCCUCAUAAAUAACAUAAUAUUGAGGUGACUCAAUCUCAUCACUUUGGAGAACAUUCUAAUUCCAUCCCAUCAGGUAGCAUGCUUAUCAUUAUUCUUCUAAUUAAAGUAAAUACUAGGUCAGAGAUGAAAAUCAAUUGCCACGAUGGAAAAGGAAUCAAAAUCUGCCAGUAUCUGGUAACACUAGGAGCUAGAGCUUCCUUGACGUUAAGUAAUCUAAGGAUAAGCCCCUCCCCCCACCACCAUGAUAUUUUUCAAGACUCUAAGGCAGUUUUUAUGCCUUUACCAGAGAAAGAAAGGGUCAGAAUCUACCUAUCAAAGUAGCUAGGAGAGUUCCAAAAGUUCUCUUCCCUGGCAGUCAUUUACAGAUUUAGGAAAGAAACCCAGGUACUCACUUUUGCUUUCUCUGUCAACAUUCCUUCUGGUCAAAAGCACAUCCAGUUAUUCAAAAAGAACAGAUUCCUGAAGUCAAGAGAUCUGAAUUCAAGAUCUAGCUCUGCCUUCUCUGGGCUGAGACACUUGACAUCUCUGGACCUCCAUAUCCAUCUGUAGAGUGGAAAAGAUAUGAAUAUUCCUUACUUUUCAGUAUUAUGGAAAUCAAAAGUGCUGAUGCACGAGAAAAAAAUAAGUAAAUACACUGCAUUAUUAUUUGCCAAUAUGUCUUCCAGAGAGGAAAAGUAAUGUGUUUAAAAAAGACUAGCCUUUAGAGAACAAGUCAAGAUUGUUUUGUUGAUUUUUGGCUUGUGAAAUACUCUACUUUCCAAUUUUGAGAAUUGAUUACAGAGAAGAAAGGGAAGAUACCAUGUACCUGUCUGAACUGAAGAUCACCUUUAGAUCAGUUCACUCUCCAUUUGCCAAAUUCAGGCAAAUAGUAACUACCUCGGAAGUUUUAAAAUUUCACAAAAGUCCUACAAAAAUAGACUUAUGAGAAAUGGCAUUGUUUUUAACGAUGUGGUCAAUUUAUUACUUUCUCCACAAUUAUUAUGCUUUUGGGUUUAAAAAAGUCAGAGAAAACAGUGAAGAAAAUCUACAUAAGGCUGCAUAAAUAUGUGUAGGCUAUGGCUCAGGUUCCUCUGUGAUCUCCUCUCCCCUGGACUCAUUGUCACUUACGUGAAAGAGCCGAAACCCCUGGAUUUCCCCAUCUCAGCCACUAUAAUUCUGUGGCUGUUUGCAGAUCAGCUUUUCAUGGCUUAUUCACAUUUCUUCACACAGGGUAAUAAGGUCGUGAACGAGUAUUAUUUUUAAUUGAAGAGUUGGCUCUCAAAACAAUAUUGAAUUCAAUGGCUAUUGAGUAUUUGAAGAAGGACAAUGAUCUUCUCAAAGUUUCAGUCACAAUACUCGUUCCAUGGAACUAGAUUUUCCACUUGGAAGUAUGUCUCAGUUUGGGCAGGGGAUCCUAUUGUGCGAGGGUGUUUAUUUUACUGCAGAAAAAGACAUCUUUCACUUGGAAAGUGUUCACCUUUUUCCUGAAGCGAGCUGAAUUCGGUAACACGUGGUAAAAAUAAAGUAAGUUCAUUAUGUGGAGCUUCAGGUGUACAGAUGCUGUCUAAUAAGACUUUAAUCAUUGUGCAUUUUAAUGGCCUGUCCUUAUUUUUUUCCGCUCUGGGACUUACCUGCCAAAAUGCCUAGCUGAGAAGUAUCCCAUCUAAAUUUUAAUGAAUAUCAAUGCUGACCAGUCUCUGUUUAAAAAAAAAAAAAAAAGUUUUUUUUUUUUUUUUUUUACCAAAUGGAAGAAUUGCAUAAACCAUGGUGACAAAUGCUGUGGGAGGUGCCUUUCCCCAUCUGUGUCCCUGCUACCCUUCUUGGGUUGCAUUCAGUCAUCGGGAGAUAAGCCUUCCUCAGUCCUGGGUUGGGGUGGGGAUGGAGGCUGAACCUCCACUGGUCACUCCACCAGGGCUUGGUCAAACAUCAGCCAGUGACAGGAAAGGAGAGAUCUAUGGGGGACUCAUUAUAAAGUAGGAGGCCAGAAGGAAUGUGCUCUUCGCUGCUCAUCCAGCCUCUGGAUGCUUUUGUGCGAGCACAUGAUGUUUAUAACUGCUGCAGCUACCCUGUGACCAUGGGGAAUGGCAGGAGGUGGCCCAAAGCUGUGAGGAAGACAGCAGAAAGAUGAAAUAAUUUCCCUCCACGAUGUCUUAAGCCUCUGACUUAAUGACCCAGGGGAAUACCCUCCCUCCAGACCGCUUGCUAUGGAACUUUCCCCUUAACUUUUGAGCUGAGUGUUCUGUUACUAUCAGACAACACUAUCACACUGACAAUUUAUAUAACUAACAAUCCAUUAGUUAAUUUUUUUUAAAGACUUGUUUAUUUA